GGAUUAGCGAUCAGGCAAGGGACACAGCCUAGCCUGUGGCUUCUAGGGAAAGCCUGAGGAGACCUAGGGGAGAGCAUGCUACAGGAAAGCCUAUGGCUGAAGGUACAGUGAGCAGGAGAGUCAGACAUCUGGACAUGGCAAAAAAAACCACAGUGGUCUCCUGUGCCUUCUACCCAACAACAGCCCUUGUGAAGCAGGACCUGCCUAUCCCUACAUCCAGACCUUGGCCAACACAUCAUGUCUAAGCAGAUUGCCUGUGCAAUCUGAUCUUGCCAUAGGAAAGGGUCUGAACCCAGCUCUGGUGCCUCCCAUUUGGGUUUGAUUAAUGAGGCUGUGGAGGGUCUUCGGGCCAGCAUUCUCUGAGACAUUCUUUCCAGCACUAGAAAUGCCAACUAUCUCUGUUUUUCUUGGGGGAGGAGAGCGGAAAUGGUCUGCAGCUAAAAACAGAGACUCACUUAUUUUAAUAAAUUGUCAUGAAAAGUAAAACAAACAUGACCCAGAUCGUAAAGGGUGAGCCUGAGGCAGGAGGCGCCAGCAAGGAGAGCGCAAGAAAAAAAGAAAAGACAAAGCAUCUCUCCACAGUGAGGCCAGUGGUCCAGGCAGCUCCAGAAAAAGAAAAACAAAACAACAGGAAACGAGAACCACCUGUCAACGGGAAAAGGGAUCAAAAUACCAAAAAAAGAAGCAAACAGAUCCAGGAUUACAGAAUGUGUGGUUUCUCAGGGACUCCAGGCAGAAGCACAGCCUCAACUGCAGCAAGCCAGAGAUCUCUGCUCUCCACAAAGGAGGAAUGGUUUCUAUGCCAAGCUAGACCAAGACAGGCUGUGGCCAACCAGAAUGCAACUGGCCUUUCUCAAAAAAACAUGAAUGUGUCAAGUAUUAGUUAAUAA